AGCGUCAUCCUACGGAGGCAGCAUGGGGGAUAUUGCACAAUGGGGGGAACCCUGAUGCAGCGACGCCGCGUGGGUGAAGAAGCGCCUCGGCGCGUAAAGCCCUGUCAGCAGGGAAGAAAAUGACGGUACCUGAAGAAGAAGCCCCGGCUAACUACGUGCC
rnacentral:rRNA from 1 species